AUGCAGGACAUUUUAAUGGUAGCGAUGAACACCAAAGUCUGCUCAGAUUCUGCUUCAGCAAUAUUCUGCAAAAAGACCUGGAUGAAUGUACAGAACUCUGGAACAAGCACAGAAUUCGGCAGUCAAGACUAGCAUCGUGUCCAGGGGGAGUAUCGGAUGAACUCUACUGCUUAUCACACAGAUUUGGAUCAAGGGAUUGUGGAUUUCCCAUUGGAGAUGAACUACAGGCUUUUUCUGUGACCAGUAUGACAAUUAACCCCUGUGGCAAUCCAGACAUGCAAGAAUAUUUAGAAUUGGUUGUAGAAGAAAAUGCACUACAAUGGCCAGGAGACUGGGAGACAGCUACAGACCUAUACAUUACUCUUAAAGGAAUUGCAUGACUAUAGAUGUUAUUUUUAUUCAAGUUAAAUCAAAUGCUUCAGAACAGAAAAGGAAGUCACUCAGAUAUCACUGGAACAACUCUGUAUACAGUACAAUAUUUGAAGAGUUUUUAACUCUAAUAAAAUCAGAAACUUGCAUUGA